UGGAGGUUGUGCCCUUGAGGCGUGGCUUCCGGAGCUAACGCGUUAAGUCGACCGCCUGGGGAGUACGGCCGCAAGGUUAAAACUCAAAUGAAUUGACGGGGGCCCGCACAAGCGGUGGAGCAUGUGGUUUAAUUCGAUGCAACGCGAAGAACCUUACCUGGUCUUGACAUCCACAGAACUUUCCAGAGAUGGAUUGGUGCCUUCGGGAACUGUGAGACAGGUGCUGCAUGGCUGUCGUCAGCUCGUGUUGUGAAAUGUUGGGUUAAGUCCCGCAACGAGCGCAACCCUUAUCCUUUGUUGCCAGCGGUCCGGCCGGGAACUCAAAGGAGACUGCCAGUGAUAAACUGGAGGAAGGUGGGGAUGACGUCAAGUCAUCAUGGCCCUUACGACCAGGGCUACACACGUGCUACAAUGGCGCAUACAAAGAGAAGCGACCUCGCGAGAGCAAGCGGACCUCAUAAAGUGCGUCGUAGUCCGGAUUGGAGUCUGCAACUCGACUCCAUGAAGUCGGAAUCGCUAGUAAUCGUGGAUCAGAAUGCCACGGUGAAUACGUUCCCGGGCCUUGUACACACCGCCCGUCACACCAUGGGAGUGGGUUGCAAAAGAAGUAGGUAGCUUAACCUUCGGGAGGGCGCUUACCACUUUGUGAUUCAUGACUGGGGUGAAGUCGUA
rnacentral:rRNA from 1 species